rnacentral:rRNA from 1 species
AUUGAACGCUGGCGGCAGGCCUAACACAUGCAAGUCGAGCGGAUGAAGGGAGCUUGCUCCUGGAUUCAGCGGCGGACGGGUGAGUAAUGCCUAGGAAUCUGCCUGGUAGUGGGGGAUAACGUCCGGAAACGGGCGCUAAUACCGCAUACGUCCUGAGGGAGAAAGUGGGGGAUCUUCGGACCUCACGCUAUCAGAUGAGCCUAGGUCGGAUCAGCUAGUUGGUGGGGUAAAGGCCUACCAAGGCGACGAUCCGUAACUGGUCUGAGAGGAUGAUCAGUCACACUGGAACUGAGACACGGUCCAGACUCCUACGGGAGGCAGCAGUGGGGAAUAUUGGACAAUGGGCGAAAGCCUGAUCCAGCCAUGCCGCGUGUGUGAAGAAGGUCUUCGGAUUGUAAAGCACUUUAGGUUGGGAGGAAGGGCAGUAAGUUAAUACCUUGCUGUUUUGACGUUACCAACAGAAUAAGCACCGGCUAACUUCGUG